rnacentral:tRNA from 1 species
CCGACCUUAGCUCAGUUGGUAGAGCGGAGUACUGUAGUUGGUUUCCCAUGCUGGUAUCCUUAUGUCGCUGGUUCGAAUCCGGCAUGUCGGA